rnacentral:rRNA from 1 species
UCCACAUUGGGACUGAGAUACGGCCCAGACUCCUACGGGAGGCAGCAGUGGGGAAUAUUGCACAAUGGGCGCAAGCCUGAUGCAGCGACGCCGCGUGGGGGAUGAAGGCCUUCGGGUUGUAAACUCCUUUCGCUAGGGACGAAGCUUUUUGUGACGGUACCUAGAUAAGAAGCACCGGCUAACUACGUGCCAGCAGCCGCGGUAAUACGUAGGGUGCGAGCGUUGUCCGGAAUUACUGGGCGUAAAGGGCUCGUAGGUGGUUUGUCGCGUCGUCUGUGAAAUUCUGGGGCUUAACUCCGGGCGUGCAGGCGAUACGGGCAUAACUUGAGUGCUGUAGGGGUAACUGGAAUUCCUGGUGUAGCGGUGAAAUGCGCAGAUAUCAGGAGGAACACCGAUGGCGAAGGCAGGUUACUGGGCAGUUACUGACGCUGAGGAGCGAAAGCAUGGGUAGCGAACAGGAUUAGAUACCCU